GAGACAAUACCACUCCAACACCUGAACCAUGUCUCUAUGUUCCAGUCUGGACCAGUCCUACCAGUCCGACCAGCUGCAUCACAGUGAGCCGUGGUCAGACAGUGGGAACCAUCACACAGACAGUGAACACUCAUUGGUUCAAAAGGUUGAGGCUCCACCCCCCGGUCCCCCUGACAACAGACAGACGACAUCCCUUUUGGUGAGGCUGAGG